rfam:Gossypium hirsutum cultivar TM-1 chromosome 19, whole genome shotgun sequence
UGUUAAAAAUGCAUCCAUUUCUAUUGUUAAAAACUAGGGUAAUUAAUAAAAUAACCAGACAGUUACACGUGGCAUGCUGCGUGUACUUCAUGCCGACAUACAAAAACUAAUUUUAACCAGUAGAAAUAGAUGAAAUUUUUAACA